rnacentral:rRNA from 1 species
AUGGUCGCAUGUGACUUUGACCUAAACUUCACAUUCAUCUCAUGUGGUUGGGAAGGGUCACCUACAGAUGCUACAGUGCUCCAGUCAGCCUUGAACCGUGGCUUCAAAGUACCCGAAGGAAUGUUCUAUUUGGUUGAUGGUGGUUAUGCAAAUACCACAUCUUUCCUUGCACCAUAUCGGGGUGUCCGGUAUCACCUCAAGGAGUUUAGGUAUGGGCGCCAUCGACCACAAAACUACAAGGAGUUGUUCAAUCUUUGGCAUGUCGUGUUGCGCAACCAUGUGGAAAGGGCCAUAGGAAUUCUUAAGAAACGUUUCCCAAUUCUUCGUGUUGGUACAUACCAUCAAAUAGAAAACCAAGUCAAGAUCACAGCAGCUGCGGCAGUCUUUCAUAAUAUCAUCAGGAUGCAUAAGGGCGAUGAAAAAUGGCUUGAUAAUCAACCCAAUAACAUACCUCCCACCGAAUUUGUUAACCUUCCGGAUGAUGAUGAUCACCAACAUGGUAACCACCAAGAGAAUAAUAUCCCAGGCGACAACUUCAUGGACGAGAUUGCUAGGAGGAUGUGGGAUGAUUUCCAACUUGACUAG